rnacentral:rRNA from 1 species
GACGAACGCUGGCGGCGUGCUUAACACAUGCAAGUCGAGCGGAAAGGCCCUUCGGGGUCCUCGAGCGGCGAACGGGUGAGUAACACGUGAGUAACCUGCCCCGACCUUUGGAUUAACCCCGGAAACGGGGGGCUAUAACGGAUACGACACCGCCUUCCCUGGGGUUCGGUGUGGAAGUUUUUCGGUUUGGGAUGGGCUCGCGGCCUAUCAGCUUGUUGGUGGGGUGAUGGCCUACCAAGGCGACGACGGGUAGCCGGCCUGAGAGGGCGACCGGCCACACUGGGACUGAGACACGGCCCAGACUCCUACGGGAGGCAGCAGUGGGGAAUAUUGCACAAUGGGCGGAAGCCUGAUGCAGCGACGCCGCGUGAGGGAUGACGGCCUUCGGGUUGUAAGCCUCUUUCAGCAGGGACGAAGCGUAAGUGACGGUACCUGCAGAAGAAGCGCCGGCCAACUACGUG